GCGAAAGGCGCCAGCAGCGCGAGGAUGGGUCCCCCUCUAUUGCCCUCCAUGAUGGGUCCCGAACCCAUUUUUUUCGCGGCGCCGUGUUCGCGCAAACCCGAGCGAGCCAAUCGCAGGUGCCGAAGUCAUCACGUGUGCGGUGAGGUCAAUUCUCUUGCGGGCGAGCCCGACCGGUGCGCGCGCCUUGUCCCAGCAGCCGGGGGGCGAACACGAGGAACGACUGAAACGCGCGUGGAAUCUCGAGAGAGGGCGACAACUCUCGCCUGUUUAAGCACGCCGCCUUGCGCGCGCUUAUUUCCGCAAAUGAGGACGUACUUACCGCAACUGUCGCAAGCAGCGCCUUCCUCUAUCAUGUCUUCGUCCGGCUAGCGAACCGGCAGAUCACGUGGCUCAACGAAACCAAUAAGACAACACCUGCACGCGGCACUGAAGAGCCAGGUCGAUGACCUGGUGUUCACCUAGCGCUCGCAGUAGCAGCGGCGUAGACGACGGGCUUGAUGGUUGUGCCCCUCACACCGUCCUUGUGUGACUGUGGUCUCUUUGGAGGAAACGCAGUGUUGCGUCGUGUUGUGUGGAAGUGGACCGGUUGGACAUUUCGACAAGACGAGCUGCUUCCUGUCCUUCGGAAGCGUACAUAUCGAUGUGUCACAAAACUGUGUUUCUUGUGGUGUUCAUCGACGAAACGUUGAGGGCACGCCGUGCGGACAGUUGAGACGCCUGCCCGGGGAAAGAAGGAAAAUGGUUCGCCUCUACAAACCUUGAGAAGGCACAGCAGGGCUUCUAAAUAAUUCUUCAGAUCUUCCUGCAGAAGAGCUGGUUAGGGCCUUCAAGACCUACAUCAACAAGAGGCUGCCUCUCGCAGCAGGCUGUGGGUGACACAGCCAGAAGGGUGACCCUUGCAGCUGCAAGGAAUACGUUGGCAGAAAAGUGAUUGGAGGAGUACUGCAAGGGCAGAGGAAGUGCUGAGGAGGCUUGGAGCUGAGGUGGCCCUUACACUGGCUUAUCUCAAGGUGGAGCUGGUCGCUACGUGUCCAUACCGCUCUGUUCGUGUGAUGGAAGCAGAUACCACCUAAUAUGGACAUGUACUGGUUUAAAAUCAGAAUGCUCGCGUCUUCUACUGCAAGCGGGCCUCUGCUACACUGACAAACAGCUAUGGCCGCGGGAUACAUGACAACAGAUUCUGCAAACACUGCUUCAAUUUAUUAACACGGCUCACAACACAUAUAAUACACAUACACACCAAGAAUUUUGCCUUAAGGGCAAAUCCUUAUUGCAAUAAUAAAUGUGCCACAUUGGCGAGA